rnacentral:rRNA from 1 species
AUGACUCGAUGCACUGACUGCCCAUGGACUGCGCCACUGAAGCGGUUGACUUCGAAGGAGGAGAAGAAUGGGAACUUUGGGCGCAAGUUCGUCAAAUGCGAGAGCAAGUCGGAGGGGCAGAUUAGAUCUGAAAAUGCCACCAUUUCGAGUGGAUGGAUGAUUACAUCCAGAGGCUUCAAGGGUCGGGCUUGCUGGAUUCAAGGGGGAAUGCAAUCCGCGAGUCCAAUCUGCCCCAUGACAGUGCCGCUCCGGCAGCAGCAGCGCGUCCGGAAUACCCGACGGUGUUAG